GGCGAAAUGAUGAAACAAACUCAAUGUUUGGUAUAUAAAUUCAUUUAGCAGCUUUGACUAUUUCUUGUGGUUCAUUAUUCAUAUGGUGGAAGAAACUACAAUACUGACAGAGAAGAGGAGAAUUGACCAUGAAAAUUAAACAGCAAAGAAGAAGAAGAAGAAGAAGCUUUUUGAGGUUUGUUAAUGGCAGAAAAAUAAUUGAAUGAUGAUUUGAAUUUAGAGUUCUAAUUAUGUAUAUGUAUAUCAUAUAUGGUGCUCACUUCUCAUGAGUCUGUCACACUACUACUACUCUUGUAUUCAUAUGCAUGUUUUCAAACAUCAUUUUUGUAUUUGUAUUCAUAUUAUAUAUAUAUAUAUAUAUAUAUUUUAUUUGUAUCUUAUAGUUUUCUUCGAAAUGGACGGUACAAGUUUUGUGUAAGUUGAACUAUGUAUAUUCAUUUCGAUGUAUGUAUAUCUCUAGAAAGUUUUUCUGUUUGUAUCUACGAAAUUAUACUAAUUUUUUAAAAAUAAUUAACCUUAAAAAUAAGAAUAUCGUACCUACUAAUUAUUGUUUAAGCUAAGUUUAUUUUAACUAUUUGAAAAUGGAUCAAUGAGAUAUUGUUACACUUAGAAUAGCAUUUCGACUCAAACACACGCAAAUACAAGUUCAAACCAUAGGUAAGUAAUAUGUAAUUGUAAUAUAAAUCUUUAAAAUUAUGACAUGUUUUGAACUUUGUGUAUGGUUGUGUCUAUUUGAUUCAUCAAAAUUUAAAAUUCUAACAUGAAAUAUUAAUUUUUCUAAAAGAUCUCAAAUCUAUUUGGUAUAUAUAUUUAAAAAUUCACAUAUCUAAUAAACACAAGUGUUGAAAUCUAUUUUACAAUUUUAGAGUGCAAAAACCUAUUAGAUAUAAUACUAAUUUUUUCUGGGACUAAACUUCUAAUAUAAGGGAGAUAAUGUAUUAAAAAAAGUUGAACCAACCUAAAAUAACCUUGAUGUAAUAAUCAUAGUAGAGAAAACUUUGGACAAAUCAAAAUUAAUCUCUUAAUCUUAAGACUUGAGAGGGAUCUAUAGGGUUAUAGUGAUUUAAAAAAGAAAGCUCACAUUUGUUUGCUACAUAGUAAUAACAACAUCAAUUAUCCUAUAGUGUUCUUAAUAAUGACCUUUAUUUUAUAAUAUUUAAUCUUCUCUUUUAAGUGUAACAAAAGUUUUUAAAUAUGAACUAAUUCCAUAAUAUGCCAAAAUAAACAUAUAAGUCGAUUGACAUAAUAACUCUAAUUAUUUGAGCAUUAGUUUUAUUACACGUCAACUAAACAUUUACCUGUUAUAUCAUUUCUAACUAAGGAAUGACACAUUAUCAAAUUAUUUAUAAAAUCGAGUGACUAAGAAGGAUCAACAUAAACUAAAUUAUAUGGUAUUUCUUAAAAAUCCACCAUUCAUAGCUAAGUGGGUGGCAAGAAAAUAGUUGCCAUUUUUAUUAGAAUUCCUUAAUUUCAGGUUUGAAAACGAUGAACAUAAGAGUAGUAAUGCACAAGAAAAUUAUAUGGUGAAGGUAUUGUUUUUAAUCAUAAUCUUCAAAACUUGAGCAUACUAAUUUUUGGCUUUACUUUCCACCAAACAAUUAUUACCCAUCUAAAGACUGAAGAUCCAACAAUGAGUUCUAUGUGUUGACUCUAUGAGUCUAUCAUUUUCCUUUUUCAAUACAAAAUGGAUUAGGAGCAAUACAAAUUCUAUCAAAAUUAUCAAGAUUUUAGACUUGUGUUCCGUGGUCAUCUUUUUAGUAUUACACAUUUACAUCUUAUAAUCUAACAAAAUCAAAUCCCAUCCGAAGAUUUAUUAACUAAUGAUAACGUGAGUUUUUCAAAAUGUUCAUCUAUAUCAAUUAGAAGAUCAAUGUAUCUUUUCUCCUUCAAACAUUGGAAAUGACAAUCAGAUAGGGACAAAAAGCAUAAGAAGAGUUUUAAAAAAAUCAAUGAAAUAAAAUUUGAAUAAUUAAAAAAAGAGAGAGGGAGAGAGAAUGAGAGAGAGAGAAAAGGUGACCUCCAUGAGUGAUGAGAGAGAGGUUCAAAGAAAUGGUUCUAAUUCUUUGGAGUGAGUGAGAGUUUCUAAUUUAAUACAAACUGCAUUCAAACAUCACCCUAUAAAAAAAAAAAAACACUACGGAAAACCCCACUAAUUCCCAACUCAAAUUCUUUUCUUCAUUUCUUACCAUUAUCUCAAUUCUUCAAUUUUUCAUGUUUCUUCUUUUCUCUUUCUUGUCUAUUCACAUGCCAAUUUAGUGUCAAAGCUGCUUAGACAUAUAGCAAAAGCCUGGAAUGCAGACAGCGGGUAUCGAUAAUCCAUCGUGAACAUGUCCUUGCCAACCUUUCCGAACUGAAGAAUGAUCUUGUCGUGGUCAGAAUGGGUAGGUUGGGCGGGCUGGGGAGGUGGCUGCG
rnacentral:lncRNA from 1 species